UACGAAGGGGCUAGCGUUGCUCGGAAUCACUGGGCGUAAAGCGCACGUAGGCGAAUUGCUAAGUCAGGGGUGAAAUCCUGGAGCUCAACUCCAGAACUGCCUUUGAUACUGGCGAUCUUGAGUCCGGGAGAGGUGAGUGGAACUGCGAGUGUAGAGGUGAAAUUCGUAGAGUAUUCGCAAGAACACCAGUGGCGAAGGCGGACUCACUGGCCCGGUCGUCGACGCUGAGGU
rnacentral:rRNA from 1 species